AAAUGAUUCAUUUUUCAUUUGUUAAUUUAUCACUUGAUUCAUAUUUUUAAAUGAUUAUUUUUUUUCACGUGUUAAUUUAUCAUGACUCCUUUUUUUCCAAAUGAUUCAUUUUUCACUUGUUAAUUUAUCACUUGAUCCAAUAACUAAUAUUCAGGACUGUUAUUUUCACUAAUACAUUUGAAGUUACACGUAAAAUAUCGGUCAUUUAAUAUCACAAUUUUAGUUCAUCCUAGUCCCAGGUUUCUCAGCUGUCACAUACAAAGGAUCAAAUCCAGACAAAAUCGGAGCUCCAGCUCCAACAAAUCAACUGCAAGAUGACUUUUAUCAUCAUCAUCAUCAUCAUCAACAUUAAUACACUUAAUGAUGGGAAAUCAUCUAUAUAGCUUUAUAGUUCUCAAAUUUUCCCCUUAAACCUUUAGGCCUUGGAGUCAGAUCAGUCCUUAGUGAAGGUGCAUUAACCCCCUCUACUGGUGAAUUACUGAACACAAUUCAACACCCAUUUUAAUUUUACAUUCAAUUCCAAUCUAUUUUAUUUUAUUUAUACAGUCCCUGAUGAGCAAACCAGAGGCGAAAAAAACAAAACAAAAAACAUCAUGAAGAAUCCUUGUCUCAAAAUGUACAGUAUAAACAUGUAGAAGAGUAAAGAGUCCUGGGAUGACCACUCCCAAGUCUUUAUGAUUACAGCAGCAAAUCUACAGAAUCCGGGUCAGAUUCAACACUGACGUAAGCAUGAGACUUGAACGUAAACAAACUGGAACCAUCCACCUGCAGCAGAAAGCGACAGGAGAGGUGAGAGGAACCACGGCAGGUUUUACGCCCAAGCCAGCACCGCUACCACCGAUAUCAACAGAUAUGCUCUCAUAUACUAAAAAGUGUACUAAACUGUACCUUCACGUGUCACUGAGGUGGUACCCUCUAUCGUCCACCUUAAACAUGGAUACAGUGUCCCUUUAAAAUAGAUUAGAUACAUAAUAAGAGUAGAGGUGUUACAAUUGGUAUCUCAAUCUGUUUCAAAUACCUGUAUCUAAAUCUAAAGUGGGCGUGUCCUAAACCAGAAGGGGUUUAUUUGUAUGUUUUUAAUGAACCUUACACCAAUGGAAGGAAGAUGUAAAGAUGUCAGCAUGGCAUGUGAAUUCUGGCUCUGACAGUUCCUCAACCUCAGCUACAUCACUCCAGGUCACGUAUGUGGAAGAGGGCAGAUAGCGCUUUCCUCCGGGUGUGUUACGCCACACUGUGACGUGUCGAAAAGACACGAUUGGCUGCUGUCUUGUGUCUCAAAGGAGCCGCGUGUUAGCAUUCACCCACCCCGAUUGGUAUCGUACCGUAUAGGUAUGGAGAAAAGGUACUAAAGCGUGUACCGGUGAGGAUAAAGAGUCCUUAUUAGUCACGUAUACAUUACAGCAGAGUGAAAUUCUUUUCUUCGGAUAUCCCAGCAUGUUAGGAAGCUGGGGUCAGAGCGCAGGGUCGGACGUGAUACUGCGCCCCCUGGAGCAGAGAGGGUUAAGGGCCUUGCUCAAGGGCCCAACAUUGGCAGCUUGGCAGCGCUGGGGCGUGAACCCCCGACAUUCUGAUCAGAAACCCAGAGCCUUAAUGGUCCUUGCCUUUGAUUCAGUUUGAAAAGUUCUUCGUCGCGUUUCUCCAUGGACAGUCAAAGCUCCGGUUACGGCUCUAGACUACUGAUCAGAAGGUCGAGUGUUCGAAUCCCAGUACAGCCCAGCGGUCACGGUUAACCCUAACCCUCGUCUGUGCUCAACUACAUAAACGCAUCAGCUUUUAAAACGUUAACGUCUUUGAACAGAACUUCCCGUCAGUCAUGUAUGGUCCACUAAUCGGGUUUCUCCAGCCCGCAGCACAGCGCACAUGGAUCCCCAGCUGUUCCUGAUCGAAUUCACAAACACACCUGUGUACACUUCAACACAACUCAUCGUUAACCUCACGCAGUACAGGAGGGACUCGCUAAUGAGCGGAACCUCCAAAUGAGCCAUCGCUGACCCGGGGCUGUAAGAGUAAUGAUCUGUAAUCCUGA
ensembl:lncRNA